rnacentral:rRNA from 1 species
AGCGAACGCUGGCGGCGUGCCUAACACAUGCAAGUCGAACGUGAAAGGGAGCAAUCCCAAGUAAAGUGGCGUACGGGUGAGUAACACGUAGGUAAUCUACCCCAGAAUCUGGAAUAACCGGCCGAAAGGCUGGCUAAUACUGGAUAGAGCGACGGAAUCCGUAAUUGGGUUUUUCGGGAAAGGGAGCCUGUAAAAAGGCCUUCGUUCUGGGAUGAGCCUGCGUCCCAUCAGCUAGUUGGUGAGGUAAAAGCUUACCAAGGCAAUGACGGGUAGCUGGUCUGAGAGGACGAUCAGCCACACUGGAACUGAAACACGGUACAGACGCCUACGGGAGGCAGCAGUGGGGAAUCUUGCGCAAUGGACGAAAGUCUGACGCAGCAACGCCGCGUGAGUGAAGAAGGCCUUCGGGUUGGAAAGCUCUGUCGAGUGGGACGAAAAUGCUUGGAGUUCACAGCUCCAGGAACUGACGGUACCACUAAAGGAAGCACCGGCUAACUCCGUG